GUGCGUUCACAUGAAUUAACAUUAUCUCAACGCUUUUUAUGUUCAGAUCACAGACACUGAACCAUAUACGACGGUUGUGUUCAGACUGAAGGUGACACGAAAGGCCGACUGUGAACGUUAUUGUGUUCAGAUAAAACUGUUUUGUGGACUUUUCAAGAGGUACCAGGCGUUUAAGAAAGAAGAAUUUGAACGUUUCUACAAAUUUAUUUAGGGAUUUGAAUCUUGGAGAAAUUUUACGAAUAAAUGAUCCAGCAUGAACAAUCUACAUGACAUGCACCAACAUAGCGGUGACGUCAAACCUGGUAUGAUGAUGAGCCCAUCAACGGUGUUGAGUCACAGAACGUUUUCUUACAUGUUGACCAACACGUGGCUGACGUCAGAUAUCACAGGUAUUGGCACUGCCUUGGUGUUUUCCUUCAGCUUGGCAUUAUUUCUAGAAUGUAUUAAGUUUUACCUGCAUCUCUCAGAUUAUUACAAAUCAGACAGACAUAUAGAUAAUAGAUCAGAUGUAAGAGGAAGAAUAAGGAAAUUAAUGGAUCAUUUUAUCCGCGGUUGUUGGCACGGAGGACAAGUUUUACUCGCUAAUGUCAUCAUGCUGUGUGUUAUGACCUACAAUAUCUGGAUUUUAGCUUGUGUGUGUCUUGGAACUGGCGUAGGUUUUUUUCUAGCGAGGCCUAUUAUAUACGACAUUUAUUACACCCGUGUAUCAAGCUGUCGCGGGGGUGAAGACGUUAGUUCUGUUCGCUUGACAUCUUGUCAACAGAAAGAAUAUUGGUCUGAUGAGCGUCAAAUUAAUAAAGGAGAUGCAGGUCCCGUUACAGGAUUGGGAGAUCAAAAUCAAGAGACUGCAGUGUAAAUAAAAUAUACUAUAAACAGUGGCAGACUGAAGCUUAGGGCCUCACGAUUUAAAGAGCAGGGGGCGGCUUUGGACAAGGUGUAUAUUAUUUGUUACACGUCAUAAGCCUACGUACUUAUUAUAGUCUUAUGUUGUGUAUGAAUAAUAAGACGCAAACAAUCGCAACAAACUGUAUAUAUAACAGUGUCUACUCACUGGUCCGUGUUCGGGAAGUACAAGUGAUAUCUUAUUGAGUUCUGCUUGAGGAACGAUAGAAAUCGUAGGGUCACAAGGUCUAGGCAUUUCCGUGUAGAUGGUGUAAUGGAGGUGGCAUCAAAUUCAAGGCGGCAUCAUAUUAAUUUUAUAAAUUAAACAUCCCCCACCCUCAUAUUUUUGAGUAUUGUGCUCUCUACUGGAGUCUUUGGGGGUGGGGGCAUGCCUUCGAGAGGUUGACCACAUGAUUGUAGAUUGCUAUUAACGUUAUUAGGGUAGUUUUAGACCAUGAGAACAGAUGUGGUGGGAUAUUUUUCUAAGAAAUAUCUUCUUGGUGAAUAGAGAGAUGGAUCCGACCAUGGACAAAUUCAUUUAUGUGAACCCUUAUCUGGCAUAAAAAUUCCAUAUCGUUUUUUUAAUUUUACUAACUUUUGUCUGAGAAUAAUUAAUCAAUCAUUGGUAAUAUUAUGAAAGAGCACCAGUAAAAUACUCAAGACAAAGAGGGUAAAUUGUUUUGUGAAGAUAGGAAUAUGUUUUUAUAAAAUGGCAGGACAUAAAUCUUUCGAAUGCUUAGCAUGUACAUACAGAAAGUCUGUCUUGGCGGUGUCAGUGAUUACCCCUUUUGUUCUUGUAACACAUUUACUGUGUGUUCUCGCUCUAACAAUUUCUUAAUUUAGUAUCUGUGUGCGAGAGGGGGGAUAUUGUACUAACAUAUCGUUUAAUUUUAUCUCAAUAAUUCGCUAGGGUUCUUUAGCAGUGGGAGGAAACCGGAGAAAACUUAUAUGUUUGGACAGGCUCUCCGAUUCCUGGCCACGUACAAGCGGAAAUCGACACCAUGCCAUUUGACUCAACGACCAACCCCCUAUUAGUGUUUGUAAUUACAUCUUUAAUAAACGAGAGGGAGGGGUGGAUGGCCUAAUGGUUAGUACGUGCACGUUGUAUCAUAAGGUCUGUCAUUGAGUCAACUGGCGUGGUUUCGAUUCCCCGGGUGUACGUGACAAGGAGAAGGUCGCCUGUCCAACCUCGUGGGUUUUCUUUGAGUCCUCUGGUUUCCUCCCACUGCUAAGGACUCCUACGCGCAAGCGAAUUAUUGAAAUGAAAUUGGACCAUAUGUUAGUCCCGAAAUGACCUAGUUUUGUCAAGUGGACGGUAAUCCCCCUCUCUCUCUCUCAAAACCAGGCGGAGUAAUACAAUAAUACAAUUUAUUGGACCUUACAUUUGUAAUAAACAACUGCAACCGGGAUUAAAGUUACCGUCCCACCCCGAGCAAUGGGCUAUGGGUGCACGGUGCAGGCGAUUGAAACCACAAACCCCAAAUCAAAUCCACCUAAAGUAACGUUGUUGGGUCCAUGGCCGGGAUACAUGCUUAUGUAUAAUGGGAGAUAACUCCAUUAAGACACCUUUUAUCGGAAACAAAUUAUUUAUUUACUAAAAUGACUGUACAUAUUUAGUUACAUCAAUCUGUGAGUGUUGACAUAUAGCCGUUUGGAACAAAUCGAAUUUAUUAUGAAACAUGGACAUGUGAGUUAUAAACGUCUAAUAGAAAACCGGGACAACAAAGUUGUUUGUAUUUACAUUGAAAACUGGAAAAUUUAAAAAUGAAUGUACAAACUAUUUGUUGUUUUUUUACUACGUAUAAUAACAAACAUUUAUUAUAUGGCAAUUAUAAAAUUAAACCUUUCAUUGCUGACUCAAAUUCUUAGUUCUACUCAGAUUGCGGGUGGCUGUAAAAUGCCGACUACCAUUAUUGACUGAAAUUACUCAGAUUAAUGGUGGCUGUAAAAUGCCGACUACCUUAAACAUGCGUGAAGAUC